UACAGAGGGUGCAAGCGUUGUUCGGAAUUACUGGGCGUAAAGGGCGCGUAGGCGGCACGGCAAGUCGGGGAGUGAAAGCCCGGGGCUCAACCCCGGAGGGUCUCUCGAAACUGCCGAGCUAGAGUGCGGAAGAGGCAAUCGGAAUUCCCAGUGUAGCGGUGAAAUGCGUAGAUAUUGGGAAGAACACCGGAGGCGAAGGCGGAUUGCUGGGCCGACACUGACGCUGAGGCGCGAAAGCCAGGGGAGCAAACGGG
rnacentral:rRNA from 1 species